AGUUGUACUGUCAAAGUGAUACAAUGUACACAUCUCAUUACUUUCGCUAUUAACAUAUAGGAUAUUUUCAAAGUGAUUUGAGCGGCUUUUACAUGAAACUGGAAAGAGCAUCUACCUGGCCGUGGACAGGCUCGUGGACAUUCCAAAAUACAUAGCUAUAAGAAACGUCUCAGAAUUCAGAGGCUCAGGAUUGCUCUCCUCGUCUGAAUGGUGCACUAAUAAUGUAUAAGGAUAAGGAUGCAUUCCGAAAAUUGGACACCAUUGAAAAAUGUGCUGGCUUGUAAAAAUUCGACAAUAUAUACAGGCCAAUGAAAGCAAUUGCA